UUGCCGGAGCCGUGAGCCGUGCCUUCUGGCGAUGGCAGCAUAAGUAUGUGCAGCCCAAGAGGAAUGGGAUUGCUCCCUUCUUCCAGCUCACUGUGAGUGCUAUGAUCUUCUUCUAUGCCAUCAACUACGGAAAACU
rnacentral:lncRNA from 1 species